rnacentral:rRNA from 1 species
GAUGAACGCUAGCGGCAGGCCUAACACAUGCAAGUCGAGGGGUAGAGGUUGCUUGCAACCUUGAGACCGGCGCACGGGUGCGUAACGCGUAUGCAAUCUGCCUUGUACUGAGGGAUAGCCCAGAGAAAUUUGGAUUAAUACCUCAUAGUAUCUUUUCCCGGCAUCGGGAGAUUAUUAAAGUUCCAACGGUACAAGAUGAGCAUGCGUCCCAUUAGCUAGUUGGUAUGGUAACGGCAUACCAAGGCAAUGAUGGGUAGGGGUCCUGAGAGGGAGAGCCCCCGAACUGGUGCUGGGACACGGACCAGACUCCUACGGGAGGCAGCAGUGAGGAAUAUUGGUCAAUGGGCGCAAGCCUGAACCAGCCAUGCCGCGUGCAGGAUGAAGCAUCUAUGGUGUGUAAACUGCUUUUAUACGGGAAGAAACACCGGUUCGUGAACCGGCUUGACGGUACCGUAAGAAUAAGGAUCGGCUAACUCCGUGCCAGCCGCCGCCGUAA